rnacentral:lncRNA from 1 species
UGAUCUUGAUCGUCAAGGACGGAGCUUCGACCAAGAAAUUUGAAGCUGUCGUUUGGGAGAAGCCAUGGGAGCAUUUCAAAAGUCUCACCUCGUUUAAACCUAUGCCUGGGGGAUGGACUCCGAUAGACCCCACGGAGAAGCACGUGAUGGUGAUCGUGCAGUUCGCGGUGACAGAGUACAACAAACGGUCAAAGAGCGCGUUGAAGUUCGAGAGCGUGGAGAAGGCCGAGACUCAGGUGGUUUCCGGCACCAAUUACCGGCUGAUCUUGGUCGUCAAGGACGGACUUUCGACCAAGAAAUUUGAAGCUGUCGUUUGGGAGAAGCCAUGGGAGCAUUUCAAAAGUCUCACCUCGUUUAAACCUAUGCCUGGGGGAUGGACUCCGAUAGACCCCACGGAGAAGCACGUGAUGGAGAUCGGGCAGUUCGCGGUGACAGAGUACAACAAACGGUCAAAGAGCGCGUUGAAGUUCGAGAGCGUGGAGAAGGCCUGGACUCAGGUGGUUUCCGGCACCAAUUACCGGCUGAUCUUGGUCGUCAAGGACGGACCUUCGACCAAGAAAUUUGAAGCUGUCGUUUGGGAGAAGCCAUGGGAGCAUUUCAAGAGUCUCACCUCGUUUAAGCCUAUGCCUGGGGGAUGGACUCCGAUAGACCCCACGGAGAAGCACGUGAUGGAGAUCGGGCAGUUCGCGGUGACAGAGUACAACAAACGGUCAAAGAGCGCGUUGAAGUUCGAGAGCGUGGAGAAGGCCGAGACUCAGGUGGUUUCCGGCACCAAUUACCGGCUGAUCUUGGUCGUCAAGGACGGACCUUCGACUAAGAAAUUUGAAGCUGUCGAUUGGGAGAAGCCAUGGGAGCAUUUCAAGAGUCUCACAUCGUUUAAGCCUAUAUUUGGGGGAUGGACUCCGAUAGACCCCACGGAGAAGCACGUGAUGGAGAUCGGGCAGUUCGCGGUGACAGAGUACAACAAACGGUCAAAGAGCGCGUUGAAGUUCGAGAGCGUGGAGAAGGCCGAGACUCAGGUGGUUUCCGGCACCAAUUACCGGCUGAUCUUGGUCGUCAAGGACGGAC